CAAUACAGUACGUUUAGUUACGGAUCGAAAUGGAGAAGAGCAAAAGCGAUAUAAAAGAGACGAGAGAAAAUAUUUGGGAUAUCCCCAAAAAAUAGAGAUGCAAAAAAAAUCGUUUUUCCAUUGAAAUUGUUUAAUUUUUUUAACAUUUAUUUUC
rnacentral:ribozyme from 12 species